AACACCCAAUAAGGUUAUAUAAGACACUGAGAGAGAUGUUUUGUGUGUGCUGAAAAUGAAAUCAAUGGUGCAGAUUCUAACACCCAAUAGAAGAGGAUCUGAAUAGGUUUAAAUACAGACACUGAGAUGCUAAAAAACACCCUGAUUGAGUUUAUAUAAGACAUAGAGAGAGGCGUCUUGGGUGAGCUAAGAAUGAAAUCAAUGGUGCAGAUUCUAACACCCAAUAGAAGAGGAUCUGAAUAGGUUUAAAUACAGACACUGAGAUGCUAAAAAACAACCUGAAUGAGUUUAUAUAAGACAGAGAGAGAGGCGUCUUGAGUGAGCUAAGAAUGAAAUCAGGGGUACCAUUUCUAUUGCAAAAAUAUAAGGGUGCAAGUGACUUUAAAUAGGGGCGCUAAAACACGCCCCAGAGUAAGAUGAAACAAAACACUGAGGUAGAGAGAGCGAGCGUGCGUGUGCCGAGAAAUAAAAUCACCCGUGCCAUUUCUAUCACAAAAAAUAAAACAACCCAAAUAAUGAGACUAAAAACGGACUAUGCAGGUUCCAUCAUCAAGGAAAAAACAAAGAGUGGAAAUAUUCAGACACCAAUAGGGUUGACACAAAGGCCGAACCAUGCUAGAAUACAACCCUUGGAGGCACGUCAGGCACAGCUAUGGGGUUGGAAUCGUUCACCCCCUACCCCCCCCGCAACCCCCUAGCCAUUACUGCAGGAGGUGUGAACUGUGUGGGGUGUGACGCACUUAAGAACGACACACUAGCUGGGGGGGCUGAAGGGUGUGUGAAGGGUGAAGGGAGGGGGUGGGAGGGGGUGACGAGAUAACUGGUUCUGACGAUGAAUGAGACUGGUAGUGGAAGUAGUAGUAGUAGUAGUAGUAGUAGUAGUAGUAGUAGUAGUAUAUCUCAAAAUACUCUACCUACUAAAAAUUUGACCUGUAUGUUCGGCUAAGGAAUAAUUUUAACCCAAUAGAAAAAUAGUAGUAGUAGUAGUAGUAGUAGUAGUAGUAAUA